CCUACGGGAGGCAGCAGUAAGGAAUAUUGGUCAAUGGGCGAAAGCCUGAACCAGCCACGCCGCGUGAAGGAAGACGGCCCUACGGGUUGUAAACUUCUUUUCUACGGGAAUAAACCUCAGGACGUGUCCUGAGCUGAAGGUACCGUAGGAAUAAGGAUCGGCUAACUCCGUGCCAGCAGCCGCGGUAAUACGGAGGAUCCAAGCGUUAUCCGGAUUUAUUGGGUUUAAAGGGUGCGUAGGUGGGAGAAUAAGUCAGAGGUGAAAGCUAGCAGCUUAACUGUUAAAUUGCCUUUGAUACUGCUUUCCUUGAGUCUAGUUGGCGUUGGCGGAAUGUGACAUGUAGCGGUGAAAUGCGUAGAUAUGUCACAGAACACCGAUCGCGAAGGCAGCUAGCGAAGCUAGUACUGACACUGAUGCACGAAAGCGUGGGGAGCAAACAGGAUUAGAUACCCUGGUAGUCCACGCCGUAAACGAUGAUAACUCGACGUUGGUCAUAUACUAGUUCUAGCGUCCGACGACGAAGACGUUAAGUUAUACCACCUCGGAGGUACGAUCGCGAGUAGAACGACGAAGAAGUAGACGCGUGAGAGUGCGACGGACGACGACGAGGGAGGAGG
rnacentral:rRNA from 1 species